CUUUAUUGGAGAGUUUGAUCCUGGCUCAGGACGAACGCUGGCGGCGUGCCUAAUACAUGCAAGUCGAGCGGACCUAAUGGAGUGCUUGCACUCCUGAAGGUUAGCGGCGGACGGGUGAGUAACACGUAGGCAACCUGCCCUCAAGACUGGGAUAACUACCGGAAACGGUAGCUAA
rnacentral:rRNA from 1 species